GAUGAACGCUGGCGGCGUGCCUAAUACAUGCAAGUCGAGCGAACAGACGAGGAGCUUGCUCCUCUGACGUUAGCGGCGGACGGGUGAGUAACACGUGGAUAACCUACCUAUAAGACUGGGAUAACUUCGGGAAUCCGGAGCUAAUACCGGAUAAUAUAUUGAACCGCAUGGUUCAAUAGUGAAAGACGGUUUUGCUGUCACUUAUAGAUGGAUCCGCGCCGCAUUAGCUAGUUGGUAAGGUAACGGCUUACCAAGGCAACGAUGCGUAGCCGACCUGAGAGGGUGAUCGGCCACACUGGAACUGAGACACGGUCCAGACUCCUACGGGAGGCAGCAGUAGGGAAUCUUCCGCAAUGGGCGAAAGCCUGACGGAGCAACGCCGCGUGAGUGAUGAAGGUCUUCGGAUCGUAAAACUCUGUUAUUAGGGAAGAACAAAUGUGUAAGUAACUAUGCACGUCUUGACGGUACCUAAUCAGAAAGCCACGGCUAACUACGUG
rnacentral:rRNA from 1 species